rnacentral:rRNA from 1 species
AACGAACGCUGGCGGCAGGCUUAACACAUGCAAGUCGAACGCCCCGCAAGGGGAGUGGCAGACGGGUGAGUAACGCGUGGGAACAUACCCUUUUCUACGGAAUAGCUCUGGGAAACUGGAAUUAAUACCGUAUACGCCCUACGGGGGAAAGAUUUAUCGGGGAAGGAUUGGCCCGCGUUGGAUUAGCUAGUUGGUGGGGUAAAGGCCUACCAAGGCGACGAUCCAUAGCUGGUCUGAGAGGAUGAUCAGCCACAUUGGGACUGGGACACGGCCCAAUCUCCUACGGGAGGCAGCAGUGGGGAAUAUUGGACAAUGGGCGCAAGCCUGAUCCAGCCAUGCCGCGUGAGUGAUGAAGGCCUUAGGGUUGUAAAGCUCUUUCACCGAUGAAGAUAAUGACGGUAGUCGGAGAAGAAGCCCCGGCUAACUUCGUG